rnacentral:sRNA from 1 species
AUCGCUUCUCGGCCUUUUGGCUAAGAUCAAGUGUAGUAUGAACUCCCAUUUUUACCCCGUAUGCAGAUUUCAGAAUCACAUCGGUUACACAUCCACGUUUUUACAUAUUGCCGUACUAGUGACUGUUGUAUUCUGCUACCUUUCCUAUCCUCUACUAUCCCCCC